AGCCUAAUUUUUGUAUGAUUUUGUCCGCUUUCACCCCGACAAUUUGAGGCUCCAUCAAGACAGUAAUAUAAGGGUUAUAUUGCCUGAUGAACGACUUGAGUACGCGAUCAAAAUCUAGGUUGGUCACCCCUUAGCAAUUCUAAGUAAAGAGAUUAAAAUCCAUAAAAAAGAGGAGAAGAUGUAGCAUGUACCCAAGAGGAACCUCAUGGCAACCUACCCAACAGAAUGUGCAUAGCACACUGGGGGCCCAAGGGCAUUAGCUCAGAUAGCGUUGCUUAUCGCAAUGAAUUAAGGAAGUAUCAUCGCAUUUUUUUCCACGGAUAGGUCUGGAAGCCCUCCAUUAGGGUUUUGAUCGUCAAUUUGGAAGCAUUCGUGGGCUCCUCUCGAUGCUUCUUUAGCUUGAGUUCACGUCGAGAGGCUUUGUUAAUCGUGAUUCUAGGAGGCGCUUGUCGUGAGAUAACACUGAUUUUUAGGUUUUGUUCCUCAUCCAGGAUGUGUGUGGGAGGAAGGAGACAGGUAGAGCUCUGCUGAUCUGCUCCUCAAUCCAGACCAUAAUGUGUUUAUACUAGUCUAGGAUUGUGUUGAUUUACUGGUUUGUUGUGGAUGGGCUGAAUCUAAUAGGAACGCCUACAUUGGAGGUCUGGUCCACCUCGCACAUGACACCCAAGCCUUCCUUAAUCGAAGCUUGCCCCUGGUUAUUAUUCUCACGUGGCCCAACACUUUGACCUAGCCUGAUUAAGAUGUUAACCUCAUCUUGAGUCUUCUUGUGUGAUUUACGUAAGUUACAGCCAACAUUUUUCCUAUUUAUUUUGCUUUUAAUAUUCUUUCCCCCACCUCCUUUAAUCACACC
rnacentral:lncRNA from 1 species